UACGUAGGUGGCGAGCGUUAUCCGGAAUUAUUGGGCGUAAAGAGCGCGCAGGUGGUUGAUUAAGUCUGAUGUGAAAGCCCACGGCUUAACCGUGGAGGGUCAUUGGAAACUGGUCGACUUGAGUGCAGAAGAGGGAAGUGGAAUUCCAUGUGUAGCAGUGAAAUGCGUAGAGAUAUGGAGGAACACCAGUGGCGAAGGCGGCUUCCUGGUCUGUAACUGACACUGAGGCGCGAAAGCGUGGGGAGCAAACAGGAUUAGA
rnacentral:rRNA from 1 species